rnacentral:rRNA from 1 species
GUCCUAGCUGUAAACGAUGGUCACUAGGUGUUGGAUCCCUAAUAAGGGUUCAGUGCCGCAGCUAACGCAUUAAGUGACCCACCUGGGGACUACGGCCGCAAGGUUGAAACUCAAAGGAAUUGACGGGGGCCCGCACAAGCGGUGGAGUAUGUGGUUCAAUUCGACGCAACGCGAAGAACCUUACCUGGGUUUGAAAUCCCGGCGACAGCUCAAGAGAUUGAGUCUUCUCGCAAGAGGCGCCGGGACAGGUGCUGCAUGGCUGUCGU